CUUGUUGUAAUGCGCCAGACGGGAAG
rnacentral:misc_RNA from 1 species